CGUCCUCAUCUCCUUUCUUGCCCUCAGCGGCGCCUCCUCUCCUUCCUCUCUCUCCCUCUGCGCCACCUCCUCUCCUCUUCAUGCAUGGCGGCGUCUCGUCAUCCCCAGCCCCCGCCCAUCCCUAGCCUCCCCAAUCCCCUCCUCCCGCAUGAACCCUAGCAGAGAGAGAAGAUGAGAGGGAGAGAGAGAAGGAAGGAGAGGAGAGGAGGGAGAAAGAGAGAGGAAAGAGGAGAGGGAGGUGUGGCGGCUGACGGGAGAGGGUCAUCGGUCGGCGUCGUCCUGCGUCGGCGAGGUCCCCCUCCCCACGCAUAGGUGACUAUGCGAGUUGCAUUGACAGAAUCCAUGUAUUAAACUGGGGCAUUUUUGGCAGCUGCAGCAACCUGACAAUUAAUUCGUUCUCAUCCAAGGUAAUUUACUUCCCCCCUUUAUGUAUCAUGGAUGGAUAUAUGUGAUGGUUGGUUCUCAUCCAAGGUAAUUUACUUUUCCCCUUUAUGUAUCAUGGAUGGAUAUAUGUGAUGGUUGGUUGUCAUUACUGAAGCAAGAAUUGUUGAUGAUGACUACCUUUCGAGCGGGUUUACCAUUCGUCUUGCUAAUGUUAAUUUGUAUGUUUUCAUUUGUUUUUCCUUCUCCAUUUUGUUGUAUAAUCUAUGGAUGUUGUCCAGAAAGUAUUUUGCAACUUCAGAAAUCCAAAAUUAUGGUUUUGAUGUUAAUGACCAGGAUGAUGUGAUAGCCUCUUUUGAUCCGUAUCUAUUUUUUUGAAGCUUGAAAGAUAUACUUGUAGUAUGGUCUGUGGAUCUCCUUUGCUUUGUGAUACUGAACCCAUUUUGGAACAAUAUGGCAUCAAAGCAUUUGUUUUUUGUCCGGCUAAUAAUGUAAUGGUCUAUGGGCAAAUAAAUCAUGGUUUAAAUCAGGCUCUUUAUUUCUCUUUUGAUUGAUUUAAGGUAUUCACAUAUAUAAUGGUUCCCAAUACCCAUAGAAUUAUUGGUUUUAAUUGGCUUCUUGGCUUCUUGCGUCCGCGGGUCAUCUAGCGCCGCCGACAUCGUUUUCUAUCAGGCUCACUUCCUAUCUUAUAUUGAUUAUUGUACUGCACUACCUCAGUUUUAAAGAUCAGCAUCCUAAAUUCCUAAUCGAACCAGAAAAGCACAGGUGAGUACCAGCUAGCCUCUCCAUACUAAUUGUCUACACAUUAGUUUCUCCUGCUCUCUGCUCUUUAUACUAUGCUAAUAUUUCAUUCGAUCUAAGUAAUUAGGCCCCAGAGCAUAUAUUCUUCACCAAAAAUAAACUGUGUAGUAAACUCACUUAGAUAGUUCCCAGAUUUUACAUACUUCCUAUUUUUGUCAUGCACACAAGAUGUUUAAUGAUGGGUCUACAAACAAAAAAACAGAUAUUUCAUGUCUUUGCUUUGGCCUGCUGAAUACCUUCCUUGCAAUACCUUUGCUAUGCACCUAUAUGAAUUUACUUUACCCUUACAAUGACCAAGAUAGCAGAUAUUAAACAAGCCAAUACAGAGAUAAUCCUUUGCUUUUCUUGCUUAGUUUUACCUAAUUAUCAGCAGAUCAAUAGGCUAUAUAGAACCUCCAACCUGUUCACUCUGAAUCCUACUGAAGACCAUCCUAUGGAGAAACAGGAGUACUGGCCCUUCGAACUACCUACAAGACCCCGAGGUGCAACCGGCCAUGGCAAGGCAGGAGAUGUCGAGAGGAAUUUUCCUCCUGGAUAUUGCAGACACUACGUGCCAUUGCCCAUUACAAAUCGGCCUAGGAGUGCAUGGGAAAAUGCUUACAUUUAAGCAACCUCAGUUGCAGAUUUUUUAUAUUUGUUCACUCAGGAGGCCAUUAGUCUAUACCAGCGAUGGAGACAGCUUCCCUUUUCACUACUGUAGAACAUAUGAAGGUUUAGCACUCAAGGGAGUUAAUUGGCAUAAAUCUCAUCUGUCGCGAUUUGAUUUGCAUGGCUCUGAACCUAGGCAGCAAUGACAUACGCAUAUUUAUAUAUACUCUUGCAUCACGAAGUUUGCCAGCAAAUAGCACAAUGCUCAUAAUGAAUGGAAAGAUAUUACCCUAUAUAGCAGCUGAACUGUGUGUGUUUCAUUCCUAUAAAUGUGUACUGGUACAAUGCUUACAAUGCUCUCUCUCUCUCUCUCUCUCUCUCUCUCUCUCUCUCUCUCUCUCUCUCUCUCUCUCUCUCUCUCUUACACACACACAAUCACGGUUGUUCCUGUAUUAUCCUUGUAUAUGCAAACUACUUUUUGUUUCUUAUACACAACGACCUAUGUUCUAUGUUGGGUACAUAUUUUUGCACUUCUUUUGAAAUUAUUAUGGUGCAUAUGUGAUAUACCUAGCUUGUAUUAAUUUCCAGGGUAUAUUCCAGUCAUAAUGGAGAUGCUUGUGAUAAGUUUGGUACCUUCCUCUGCUACAUCUUUUGGUGUUAUGGGCCGUUCCUAGAUCUCUAUAUUUUGCAAGAGGCCAUGUUAUUUUGGUAUGCAAGAGCAGGCCUGACAGGUAUGUACAAGCUAUUUAAGAGGGCCAAGAAGGCGGAAUAACCUCGCUUAUACAGUUUCUGACUGCUAACAGUGCCAUCAUCAAUGAGCUUCACUCUAAAGUCUGUUCAUGAGAGGGUUGGGCUUCCUUCAAUGCUAGGGCUGAAAUUGGAGAAUAAACAAG